rnacentral:misc_RNA from 1 species
GUGAAUCAUCGAAUUUUUGAACGCAAAUUGCACUCUCUUCGGAGAGUAUGCCUGUUUGAGGGUCAGUUAAAUAAAAAUCGGUGUUGUUGCUGAUUUUUGUGGUGACGUGUUGGAAUGGAGUUGUCUUACUUUCGGUUAAGUGACUUAAAAUUUUGCAUGGUAUUCGAACGUAUUUAAAUUUCUUAGGUAAGUUUGAGAUAUAGAAUACUUUUUUAGGUUCGGUUAUCGUCAUGAUUAGAACAU